AUUACUAUAGGAAAACGUGCCAGCAGCCCUGCACCACUAAAUCAUUUAUGUAAUCUAGGAGAGUAAAAGUUGUAUUCCAUUUAGUAUAGGAGUAUUUAAAUAUUAUAGGGACUGUUCAUCUUCUAUUUUCUUUCUUCUCCACUUGACUGCGACCCACAGUAUCGACUCCGGCUCGACCCAAUUGCCCCCGUCGCCCCAGCCGCGACCCCGUAUCUCGAUCAACCCACCCAAGUUGGGGCGGUGCUGGCUGCGACCCUGGCGGCCCGAGCGACCCAAACGACAUUUUGACAACACUGGUUGAAUCUACUUGAGAUUAUUUUAUUGCAUCAAUAUACAGGUCUGGGACUUGCUGUGGGAGUCCUACGCAUUCAUGAAGCGGGGGAAAGGUCACUAACUGGAAGAGCAUUGAACUUGACUUUGAUACUGAUUAAAAAGAGCGAAGAGUUUUAUUCCCUUCUGGUGGUAUUUUGGUGACAAACGGCGGAUUACAUAACCACAUUUUUCUGCUUUAAUUGUUUCAAUUUCCGUCCGAGUGUUGGUCUGCAUCUACCUAUUUUCUAUAUGUAAGUAUUCAAUUACCGUUUGCUGCACUUGGUUUCUGGUUCAGAAUUAGUGUUGGUUUUGGGUUAAAUCAUGAACUACUAGUGUUGGUUUUGGGAUAAACUUUUUUUUUUGGUUUUGGAGACACCAACUCAGAAGGCCCAACGGUCCAGCACAAGUGGUACAUUUCUCACUCUAUCUCCCUCUCUAAAGUCUAAAUCUCUUGUUCAUGGAUUCUACAUUUCCAUUUCUUCAUCUCAAAAACUUUGGGAAAACAUAAAUUGUUUUUCUUCCUCGACUUGUAAUGUUUGUAUGUUUGAGACAUCAUAAUAGCUUGAAUGUAAACGGCUGAAUCUCUAUACAAAGUUAUGUAGAUUUUGGAACUGAAUCUUUGUAGAAUUGAGCUUUAUCGUGCGGUUGUAUUGUGGUCACUUAGCUCAGGUUGCUCUAUGCAUACAUCAAAUAUCUUUGAACACCAAAGUUAACUGCUCACCUACCGCAAGAAGUUUCCUACUCCCUUUUUCAACCUUUUUUCCAAGUAAACUUUCUAUUUUUUUUACAAAUUUGUUUUUUGCAGAUAAUAUUUUUGUUUCCCCCUUCUUCUUGAUGGAUUUUGCGGUCUGUUGAUGGACAUUUUGGCCUGUGCAGGUGGAUUUGGUUUCCACGAUUCAUAUUGCAGAUAAGGAGAUUUGAGACUGUCACCUACAUGCUGCAGGUAUAGAGCUAUAUUGCUGACCUACAUGCUGCAGUAGGGAUUGGUCAUCACCACUCAGCCUACUCGGAUCCUUCCAUUCGAGACCAAAUACGAGAUGAAGUGCAGCAAGAAGUGUGGGGCCAAAUGCAGCAAGAAUUACUUGAGCAAAGACGCGAGCAAAAACUAGAGAUGGAAGAGGUGAUGAAGCGGUUUAUGUCCAAGCAACCCCAACAAUCAAGUCACACGUUGAUGCUGAUGACUGAUGAUGCUACUAGUUAAAAUUGAUGUCUCACAAACUAACUUCUAAACUAGCUACUUUAUGAUUCAUACGUUGGUUAUGUUUUGACGAAUACUUUUGAGGUUUAUCUAUCAUGAUUCUCAUUUUGUUGGUCA